rnacentral:rRNA from 1 species
AUUGAACGCUGGCGGCAGGCUUAACACAUGCAAGUCGAGCGGAGAUGAGGUGCUUGCACCUUAUCUUAGCGGCGGACGGGUGAGUAAUGCUUAGGAAUCUGCCUAUUAGUGGGGGACAACAUUCCGAAAGGAAUGCUAAUACCGCAUACGUCCUACGGGAGAAAGCAGGGGAUCUUCGGACCUUGCGCUAAUAGAUGAGCCUAAGUCGGAUUAGCUAGUUGGUGGGGUAAAGGCCUACCAAGGCGACGAUCUGUAGCGGGUCUGAGAGGAUGAUCCGCCACACUGGGACUGGAACACGGCCCAGACUCCUACGGGAGGCAGCAGUGGGGAAUAUUGGACAAUGGGGGGAACCCUGAUCCAGCCAUGCCGCGUGUGUGAAGAAGGCCUUAUGGUUGUAAAGCACUUUAAGCGAGGAGGAGGCUACUGAGACUAAUACUCUUGGAUAGUGGACGUUACUCGCAGAAUAAGCACCGGCUAACUCUGUGCCAGCCGCCGCCGUAAGAC